rnacentral:lncRNA from 1 species
AGAGCUGGGGCUGUGCAGGCUGGAGAAGAGAAGGCUCCAGGGAGACCCAAGAGCAACUUUUAGGAACAGGAAGGCUGGUGAACUGACUCCAUACAUCCAUUCUCCCAAAACAAGAUUUCCUGUCACACAGCUGUGUUCUCUAGACGCAUCAAAGGAGUUAAUAGAUUAUUAAUAGCAGUUAAAGCUUAUUACUGGCAAUAUUCUGUCCAAGAAAGAAAUCCCAGAAGGAAUCUCAAUUCCCACUGGAUACGUUUCAUAUAAAUAUCUUGAGGAAUUGCAGCUCUGCCUGUUCUGCAAGACCAACCUGACCACUGCUUUCCCAGAGAGACUACUGCUAAAACAAUAGCAAGCGUUCCUGUGCUUUGUGAUGCAUACUGAGCAGAUCCUUAGGGCACACAAAGACCCAACUCCUAAAUAUCCACGAGUUGAUCCAGACUUCCAGGAGACCUGAGUGAGGAAUACAGACUGCAGGAAGGUUUAACCCCUUCCAGACUGGUGUUUUCCCCAGACUUCCGCCCUGCUUUGCAGACUGCCAUGGCUCACUGCCCACCUGCACCACAGAGCAGCAAUCUGCACAGCUCUGCACUGAGGAAGGCCUGCAGUCCUGCCCCAGCCCUUGCAACACCUGUGCCAGCAGACCUUUAUCAUUUGCAAUCAAUGCAUCUAUUUGGGUACACGUGCUCUGAGUAAGAUACUAUGUUCUGAUGUGCAGCUGCAUCUUGAUGUGGGAUGAUCCUUCCACAGUGGUUUUUCUUUGGUCUGGAUUUGAUUCAGAGUAGUGUUCAGCAUGUAAUCUUGGAAAUACAGAUACUGUGGAGCCCCAGUACUUCAUCCCACUGUCUUACAGUGUGCACAUCUCUCUAGAGUAUUGUGGUAGACACUGAUACCACCCCACUGUGUUCCCUGCUUCAGGUAAAACAAAAACAGAAGAUAAAGCAGAAAAAAAGUUACUUGAAAACACAUUCCUGGUCUUAUGUUUCUUAUAGUUUGUGUGUUUCUAUGAAUCAUUAGAUAUAUGACUUCUUAACGUACAGAAAUCCAUUCCUCUACAGAGAAUCUGUUCCUAAGUUUUUUUCUUGUAAUAAGUCAACUUAUAAUAAAGGCAAAUGCAUAUUCCUUC